rnacentral:lncRNA from 1 species
AAGUCCAGGGACGGCCUUUUCUCCAUCUUUUGUGGUGACAGUUGAAUGAGUGACAUCAGGAUACUGGGUCGAAGAAUGAUUACCCCAAAUGAUGACAUUCUUAACAUCACAAACUUGAACAUCCAAUCUCUCCGAUAUUUGACCCAAUGCUCGGUUGUGGUCAAGUCUGGUUAGACAGGUGAUGUUACACUCAGGGAUGGAUGGAGCAAACUCUUUCAGGAUUAGAGCAUUUGUAUUUGCUGGAUUGGCCACUACCAAAACCUGAAAAAUAAAAUCAUAUUGCAAUUAAACAAUGGAAACCAAAAUGACUCCAUGUACUAAGAAUUGUUGAAUUUAGAUAAUAAUCUAGAUUUAGAGUUUGAAAUAGUUGAUAUUAAGAAGGACGUUCUAGGUGCUUCACUCAUCACUGUUACCAGUCGUCAAAAUGGAAGAUAUAACAUUAUUUGUUAAGUUUCGGUGUUUCACUGAUUAAAAUCUCCAUUACAAAAUUAUAAGUUAUCUAUUUACCUUUUUACGUAAAGAAAUAGUGAAU